rnacentral:lncRNA from 1 species
UUGAAUUCCACCUCUUAAACCACAGGGAACAGAAAAGAGGUAUAAUGACAAAAAAUAGUUUUUUCUGUUACACAGUGAGAAAACUUAAGAUCCUUCUUAAUUGAGGUGGAGCCUGAAGAACAUUGAUAAGGGCAAAAAGAACAUUUAGGUCAGUGUAGAGUUCUGCAGUUGUCCUCUGGCCUCUUCUUCAGAGUGAGAACCUUGAAAAAGGAGGGGCAAUGGAAAUCCUGUAUGGGUUUGGAGAUCUGAACUCUGAGGAGAGACAAUAUUGCAGCCCGCCUGAAUGCCAGCAGAGGAGAGGGGCAAUGUAGAGAAGGUGUAUCUCUGGUGUCAUGCUUGGGCAACUGCUUGAUAAUUACGCCUUUCAUUGGAACCCAGGAAACGGAAGAGACUCUGAUGAGACUGGAUUUUGAAAUGUUGCUUUUUGAGGUCCUUGUGGUGUGUAAAAAGAGAAACCUUUAUAGGAGCUAAAAGAAGGCAACUGAGGAGUUAAGUACCUUUUCCAAGGUCACAGGAAAGUGGCGAAUGAGAGUCCUGUGAUUCCAGUCUAGGUCAUCUGAAUCUAGAUCCUGUGUUCUUGACCACUACAUGAAAUUACUGACUGGCAACCAGAUCAUAGAAUUCUCUUAUUCCUACUCCAAGGAGCCUUUUCCCAAGCCUAUUUCACACUGUAGGCAUGGAUCACCCACUUCAGAAACAGUUCUAACGACUAUAAGUCUCAAAGACAGAAGUUGCAAGCUACUGAUGUGCUGCAUAAAAAUACUCACAGGCUUGCCUGAGGAGCAGCUUUUUCUACUCCCUGAAAGAUGUGUAACUGUGGAAGAGAGAGAAGAAGGCUGAGAGAACAAGCAGAUGGGAGGAAGGAACUGAGAUACCUCAAUCCUUGGGGAAGAAAACAGAACCUUCCUUUGCAAGUACCAGGGAAGUGUAGACCGUGACACAAUGUGAAGAGUCUUCUUGUUGCUGGUCAGAGAGUUUUACCAACUACCGGCUUAGUGCCCCAAAUCAUCUGCCUCCAUCCGACUGGUUCCCACAGACAAUUCACUAACUGAUGGUUCUGGAAACGGGUAGGGAAAUUAGAUGUCCAGUGAGGAGAUGAUGGCUGGAGGAGAAUUUGGGUGGAGACAGCAACUAAUAUACCUCUUCUGUUACAGAGGCAUAGAAACAAAGGAGAGGAAAUACAGCAACAUGUCAACCAUGCUCAUAUUUAGGUGGUGAUUAUAGGUGACUUUUAUUUCCUUCUUAAAACUGAAUUGUAUUUUCAAAGUUUUCUAUGAUGUAUGACAUAUAUAAUCAGAAGAUGGUUGAAAUAAAGAACAUCUUCAUUGGAAUAUGUGCCUGAUAUAUGGCAACUCCAUUUUCAUGCUGGGUUUGGCCAAGAGAGCACCCACAGCUGUGCCAAGAGUUCUCUUUGAAAGUCCAUCUGGGUUCAGCCCAAUUAAUAAAUAAACUCAAAGGCCCAGGGUUCUUCAUUGUGAUGCACAGGCAUAAUGAUUUUAGCUUGAUCACCCAAGGGCAUAGUCCAGAAAGAGAACAGUCUGAAGACUACUAGCUUCAAGACAGGAUGAAAUUAAAAAUGUUUGUCUAUGUGGUACUCUGCACUGCUGGCAUAAAUUUUGGUCUACAAUCUCCUCUGAGUGACUUCCUCCAGAGAAGUUAUCUCAAUUGCACUUAUACUUAUUUGUAUGACUAAUGCCUGCCUACUUCAGUAAACUAUAAACUCCACGGGAAUAGAAUCUCCAAUAUUUUAUUUCUUACCAUUGAAAAUCCAAUCCAGAGGCUAUAUUUGUGUGUGUAUAUAUAUAUAUAUAUACACACACAUAUGUAUAUAUUUUUGCAUACACGCUG